GAAAGAGGGAGGGAGAGAGAGAGAGAAGCCAAAGAGAAUCACAGAAAUCGCCCGUAGUUCUUUACUCUCCAGGGUAAAGACCUGGCUGGCCGUACUUCCUACCCUCUGGCUCCAAGAGAUAGCCUUAUAUCCUUCCAAUAAACUCCACUCUCCUGCUCAAGAUAGCUCCCUAUCCCAAGUCCCUUAGUGAGCUCAGACAUAACCAUUUUGAGGCCAGCCCUGGGGUCCACCGGAGAGGAAGGAGCUCUAGCAAGCCUUCUGACUUAGGGGCCAGGGGGGCUCCUGCAGGACAGCAGGCACGAUUUUGAUUUCAGGAGAAAGGGGCAGAGAGAAGGCAGCUCCUCACCACAGACCACCAGCAAGGCCCAUCAUCCCCUGGAGAGUCUUCCUGAUGGGCCAUCUCUCUCUCCUACCACCCCCUGCCUGACCCAGGAAACCCUAACCCUGGGCUAUUCUCAGGUGAAUGGCAGAGCGAUGCUGUGUGCUGGCGGCCCCGCCUCUGGCCCUGAUUUUUAAGAAGGGGAGGGGAAAAAAUAACAGAAGGGAAAAAGUGAACAUGAGUAAUGGGCCUGGAAUGAGGCAUACGAGAUAACACUGAAUAAUAAUGCGUCAAAAACUACAAGAUGUAUUUUUUUUAUUUCCCAGUGGAGUUUCCAUUGCGCUAAUCCAUCACCGUGGAGCAGGCAAGAUUAUGCUUCCCCAAAAAAACUCUGGGAGAUAAAUAUGAGAGGAUCAGUACUGCUGUGGGCUCUGUGAGUGUGGAUUUGGAGAGGGACCCAAGAUGCCUGCGAAGAGGCAAUGAUGGCAGAGCUGAUGAAGCUCCUACAGUCAGGAGAGAGACACAUGACAUACCUCGGGCACUUAGUGUGGCUCACCCUCCAGAGCACUCAACUGAUGUCCCACCUGUUCUGGGAAGACCCUACUCGGGCCCAGCCUCUAGCAGGUCCUGCCCACAGCUGGCCUGCUGGUCCUUCAUAUAAAGGGGAGCCAUGUUCUGCACCUGGAGCCAGAGUGAAUCAGUGAGUGAGGAGGAUUGUUCCAGAAGGAUCCGGAUGAGGACCCCUGCCUCC
rnacentral:lncRNA from 1 species